rnacentral:rRNA from 1 species
AUUGAACGCUGGCGGCAUGCUUUAUACAUGCGAGUCGAACGGUAACAGGCCUUCGGGUGCUGACGAGUGGCGAACGGGUGAGUAAUGCAUCGGAACGUGCCCAGAGGUGGGGGAUAACGCAGCGAAAGCUGUGCUAAUACCGCAUGUGAUCUGAGGAUGAAAGCGGGGGACCAGGCAGCAAUGUUUGGCCUCGCGCCUUUGGAGCGGCCGAUGUCAGAUUAGGUAGUUGGUGGGGUAAAGGCCUACCAAGCCGACGAUCUGUAGCUGGUCUGAGAGGACGACCAGCCACACUGGGACUGAGACACGGCCCAGACUCCUACGGGAGGCAGCAGUGGGGAAUUUUGGACAAUGGGCGAAAGCCUGAUCCAGCAAUGCCGCGUGCGGGAAGAAGGCCUUCGGGUUGUAAACCGCUUUUGUACGGAACGAAAAGGCUCUGGCUAAUACCUGGGGCUGAUGACGGUACCGUAAGAAUAAGCACCGGCUAACUACGUG